AACAUGCAAGCUCUCUGAAGCUUGUUUUCUAUGGCCAUACAAUAAGUAUGCAGUCUGCACUUUAUGAGGAAAUUCCAUCAGUGCUCCUUCAGAGUUUGCAGCCGCACACAAUAUUGUGCGAUCUGCGUUGUGACCCUUUUUCCUUGUUAUGGUCCUUGUCCAAUUUCACUCCUUUUGAAUUGAUUUUCACUUUUUGGUUCGUUUCCCAAUAUACCUUACAGCAGUUUUUAGCUAAAACACAAGUAAAAGAGCAAACAAACAGUCAAAGUCCAUAUUUAUUAGUCUGUUUGUUAGAUUCCAU
rnacentral:lncRNA from 1 species